rnacentral:rRNA from 1 species
AUUGAACGCUGGCGGCAGGCCUAACACAUGCAAGUCGGGCGAGCGGCGGACGGGUGAGUAAUGUAUGGGGAUCUGCCUGAUGGCGGGGGAUAACUACUGGAAACGGUAGCUAAUACCGCAUACCAUCAGAUGAACCCAUAUGGGAUUAGCUAGUAGGUAAGGUAACGGCUUACCUAGGCGACGAUCCCUAGCUGGUCUGAGAGGAUGAUCGGCAACAAUAGGACUGAGACACGGCCCAGAGUCCUACGGGAGGGAGCAGUGGGGAAUAGGGCACAAUGGGCGCAAGCCUGAUGCAGCCAUGCCGCGUGGGGGAUGAAGGCUUUCGGGUUGUAAACCUCUUUCGAAAGCGAACGGGUAGGUGGAGAAGAAGCGCCGGCUAACUACGUGCCAGCAGCCGCGGUAAUAC